GAAAUGCGAUAAGUAAUGUGAAUUGCAGAAUUCCGUGAAUCAUCGAAUCUUUGAACGCACAUUGCGCCCCCUGGUAUUCCGGGGGGCAUGCCUGUCCGAGCGUCAUUGCCAACCCUCAAGCCCGGCUUGCGUAAUGGGCCCCGUCCGCCGAGGACGGGCCCCAAAGGCAGCGGCGGCGUCGCGGUCAUCCGAAUCAGCCCGAGCGUAUGGGGACACUCACGCCAGCGGCGCGGACCGACGCCCGCCCGGAAACACACCGAACCACCACAAGUUUGACCUCGGAUCAGGUAGGGAUACCCGCUGAACUUAA
rnacentral:misc_RNA from 1 species